GCGUAGGCGGUUUAUUAAGUCAGAUGUGAAAUCCCCGGGCUCAACCUGGGAACUGCCUCUGAUACUGGUAGACUAGAAUGUGGGAGAGGAGAGUGGAAUUUCCGGUGUAGCGGUGAAAUGCAUAGAUAUCGGAAGGAACACCAGUGGCGAAGGCGGCUCUCUGGACCAACAUUGACGCUGAGGCACGAAAGCGUGGGUAGCAAACAGGAUUAGAUACCCUGGUAGUCCACGCCGUAAACGAUGUCAACUA
rnacentral:rRNA from 1 species